AACGAACGCUGGCGGCAGGCCUAACACAUGCAAGUCGAACGCUCCGCAAGGGGGAGUGGCGCACGGGUGAGUAACACGUGGGAACCUACCUUCUGGUACGGAACAACCAAGGGAAACUUUGGCUAAGACCGUAUACGACCUCCGGGUGAAAGAUUGAUCGCCGGAAGAGGGGCCCGCGUCCGAUUAGGUAGUUGGUGAGGUAACGGCUCACCAAGCCUUCGAUCGGUAGCUGGUCUGAGAGGAUGACCAGCCACACUGGGACUGAGACACGGCCCAGACUCCUACGGGAGGCAGCAGUGGGGAAUAUUGGACAAUGGGCGCAAGCCUGAUCCAGCCAUGCCGCGUGAGUGAUGAAGGCCUU
rnacentral:rRNA from 1 species